GACGAACGCUGGCGGCGUGCUUAACACAUGCAAGUCGAACGGUGAUCUUGGGAGCUUGCUCCUGGGUGAUCAGUGGCGAACGGGUGAGUAACACGUGAGUAACCUGCCCCUGACUCUGGAAUAACUUCGGGAAACCGAAGCUAAUACCGGAUAUGACACAGAGCCGCAUGGUUUCUGUGUGGAAAGUUUUUUCGGUUGGGGAUGGACUCGCGGCCUAUCAGCUGGUUGGUGAGGUAAUGGCUCACCAAGGCGACGACGGGUAGCCGGCCUGGGAGGGCGACCGGCCACACUGGGACUGAGACACGGCCCAGACUCCUACGGGAGGCAGCAGAGGGGAAUAUUGCACAAUGGGCGAAAGCCUGAUGCAGCGGCGCCGCGUGGGGGAUGAAGGCCUUCGGGUUGUAAACCUCUUUCAGUAGGGAAGAAGCGCAAGUGACGGUACCUACAGAAGAAGCACCGGCUAACUACGUGCCAGCCGCCGCAGUAAAAC
rnacentral:rRNA from 1 species